AUAUUUACCUGGCAGGUGAGAUACCAUGAUCAGGAAAGUAGUUUUCCCAGAACUAGGCUCAGCAUUACCCUUUGACUGUGUUGACACCUAGGAUUUCCCCAUGUGUCUUUACAAUAUUGAAGGGCCUACAUUUUAAUAAAGGGAGAAGAAACAAGUGUCCCUU
rnacentral:snRNA from 1 species